AUUGAACGCUGGCGGCAGGCCUCACACAUGCACGUCGAGCGGAGCGGCGGACGGGUGAGUAAUGCCUAGUCAUCUGCCUGGUACUGGGGGAUACCGUCCGGAAACGAGCGCUACUACCUCAUACUAUCCGAUGAGCCUAGGUCGGAUUAGCUAGUUGGUGGGGGAACGGCCUACCAAGGCGACGAUCCGUAACUGGUCUGAGAGUAUGAUCAGUCACACUGGAACUGUGACACGGGCCAGACUCCUACGGGAGGCAGCAGUGGGAAAUAUGGGACAAUGGGCGGAAGCCUGAUCCAGCCAUGCCGCGUGUGUGAAGAAGGUCUUCGGAUUGUAAAGCACUUUAAGUUGGGAGGCGUUACCAACAGAAUAAGCACCGGCUAACGUCGUGCCAGCAGCCGCGGUAAUAC
rnacentral:rRNA from 1 species